AGAAACCAGGUACAGACAGCAGGCAGCUAGAAACACCAGGAUUUGCAAAAUCAAAUUGAAAUGCAGCUUGAAGAAACAGCCCUGCUGUAUUUUAAGCCUGUAAUAUAUCCCAACCCUGACACUCACUCUCCAUGUAAGUUUUACCCACGCUUAGCAAAUAAUAGCCAUAGGCAGAGACAUAAUUAAAAGGUGGCGAGGAGGUCACGUACAUAGAGAGGUAGUGAGAAGGUGGGCCAGGCUGGACCUGUCAAGGGGUUCCUUGCCAUUACUCCAUCUGACAAUUUGCUCAGAUUAAGAAAUUCAGCUUGGAGCAAGAACCAGAUAGUCCCCCUUUUGGUUCAUCAAAUCUCAUGGUCCUGGUUGCAUUUCUAGGUUCAGCCAUGGCUACCUUAUGGGUGGUAGCCUAAGGCAGUAUAGCUGACUCUAGACUGGUAAUUUCCUCAGUUUGAGAGAUCUCUUGGUGGUAUAAGGAACAAGGCAGUUAUUCUGUGCUGCCCAACUCCUUGGUGCAGCCUAAAAACAGGUUUACCAUCUAAAUGAGGACUAGGCCUAAACUAACUUUGUUUUCAUGUCACAUGAUUCACAAGGAAGUGACAUUGCCAACAUCUUGUUUCCAUGCCUUUUUACCACAUAUUGUGGGGCCUGCCUGCUUAUGCUGAUGAUUCAGACUGGAUUCCAGAAGACAAUUCAGCAUGUGAAGCAGCAGCAUUCCAACUUCUUGUUCUCCUUUAUUGCCCUAUUAGGUCAAGGUAAUAAAACAAAGCCGACUGCUUCCACCCAAACUAGGUAACGUACCUCAUUUUAGUUCGGACUAGAACAAGUCUGUGCCAGCUUCAGGAUUUGGGGAGCCCUCAACAAACAUUCCAAGUGGUUUCUUCCGAUCUGCAAGAGGUCAGGCAGAGGAUAACAACUACAGCUGUUUACAAGUAAGAAGAGAAAGUAACUAUGGAUAAACUGCUCAGUGGAUUGUUCUGCUGUGACAUGAAGAGAAUCAUCUGACAAAUUGAUAAUGUGGACCUGAAGAAGGAAGGGCACGAAGGGUUUGCUCGGAAUGGACUUCGUUCAUGUGCAGACAGUAGUAUUGACUGCCAUAUGUGGAAUUACGAAGGAUUCUUUUUUCUCCAGGGCUGAUUGGCCACAGACCCUGGAGGUUUUCAGCCUUCCUUUAGGCAUCUGGCAGGGAUAAUAAAGUUUGAAUCAAAGCUAUCGUCUCUGAUGCAUGUUUAAUUGGCACAAUAUGGAUCACAAGGUUAUAAAUUCCUCU